UACAGAGGGGGCAAGCGUUAUUCGGAAUUAUUGGGCGUAAAGGGCGCGUAGGCGGCAUGGCAAGUGGAAGGUGAAAUCCCUCGGCUUAACCGAGGAACUGCCUGUCAGACUGGAUGGCUUGAGACCGGGAGAGGUGAGUGGAAUUCCCAGUGUAGCGGUGAAAUGCGUAGAUAUUGGGAGGAACACCAGUGGCGAAGGCGGCUCACUGGACCGGUACUGACGCUGAUGCGCGAAAGCGUGGGGAGCAAACAGG
rnacentral:rRNA from 1 species